GACGAACGCUGGCGGCGUGCUUAACACAUGCAAGUCGAACGGAAAGGCCCUGCUUUUGUGGGUUGCUCGAGUGGCGAACGGGUGAGUAACACGUGAGUAACCUGCCCUUGACUGUGGGAUAACUUCAGGAAACUGGGGCUAAUACAGGGUAGGAGCUCCUGCUGCAUGGGGGGGGUUGGAAAGUUUCGGCGGUUGGGGCUGGACUCGCUGCUUAUCAGCUUGUUGGUGGGGUAGUGGCUUACAAAGGCUUUGACGGAUAGCCGGCAUGAGAGGGUGAACAGCCACAAUAGGCCUGCGAUACGGCGCAGACUCCAACGGGCCGCAGCAGUGGGGAACCUUACGCAGUGAGCGCGAGCCUGAUACAGCGACGCCGCGUGCGUGAUGCCCGGCUUCGGGUUAUAAACAGAUUUCGAAGGAGACGAAGCGGGCGUGACGGUAAUGGAUAAAAAAGCACCGGCUAACUACGUG
rnacentral:rRNA from 1 species